rnacentral:hammerhead_ribozyme from 1 species
AUCCAACUGACGAGUCGCAAAUAGGACGAAAUGCGCAUCCUGGAU